rnacentral:sRNA from 1 species
CUCUUCCCGCCAUCUUGGCUCCUGUGGAGGCCUGCUGGGAACGGGACUUCUAAAAGGAACUAUGUCUGGAAGGCUGUGGUCCAAGGCCAUUUUUGCCGGCUAUAAGCGGGGUCUCCGGAACCAAAGGGAGCACACAGCUCUUCUUAAAAUUGAAGGUGUUUACGCCCGAGAUGAAACAGAAUUCUAUUUGGGCAAGAGAUGCGCUUAUGUAUACAAAGCAAAGAAGUAAGUUUAUGACACUGGUAGGUUUUGGGUUUUUAUUUGAGAUCUGCCUCAUUUUCUUUUUUAUAUAACGGAGUCUUGCUCUCUUGCCCAGGCUGGAGUGCAGUGACUUGGUCUCCCUCACCGAAACCUCCGCCUCCCGGGUUCAAGCAAGUCUCCUGUCUCAGCCUCCCGAGUAGCUGGGAUUACAGGCGCCGGCCACCACGCCCGGCUAGUUUUUGUAUUAUUAGUAGAGACAGGGUAUUGCCAUGUUGGCCAGGCUUGUCCCAAACUCCUGACCUCAGGUGAUCCGCCCACCUCGGCCUCCCAAAGUGUUGAGAUUACAGGCUUGAGCCACCGCGCUUGGCCUCAUUAUCCUAUU